GCCAGCCCGCUCAGAACUUAAAGGAAUGACGGGGCCCGCACAAGCGGUGGAGUAUGUGGUUUAAUUCGAUGCAACGCGAAGAACCUUACCUGGUCUUGACAUCCCGGAGACCCUUAGGAAACUAGGGGGUGCUUCCAUCUGGAAGAAUCUGGAGACAGGUGCUGCAUGGCUGUCGUCAGCUCGUGUCGUGAGAUGUUGGGUUAAGUCCCGCAACGAGCGCAACCCUUGCCUUUAGUUGCCAGCAGUUCGGCUGGGCACUCUAAAGGGACUGCCGGUGUUAAACCGGAGGAAGGUGGGGAUGACGUCAAGUCCUCAUGGCCCUUAUGACCAGGGCUACACACGUACUACAAUGGCCGAUACAAAGGGCAGCGACACUGCGAGGUGAAGCCAAUCCCGUAAAAUCGGUCUCAGUCCGGAUUGGAGUCUGCAACUCGACUCCAUGAAGUUGGAAUCGCUAGUAAUCGUGGAUCAGCAUGCCACGGUGAAUACGUUCCCGGGCCUU
rnacentral:rRNA from 1 species